AAAUAGAACCCCGGCAUCCUUCCCGCGAAGAACUUCCCACCUUGCUCUUGGGAAAACUCGAACUCACAACCUCUCGAUUGGAAGUGGAGGUUGCUUACCAUCAGAGCAACCCCUCUUGUCUGUGAUGAAAAUUGCUUAAAAACUUCAAAAAUCAUGUAGCUCUGCCAUCAUGGUCUGAUGUUACCUUGUUAAACCUUUAUGGUGAUUCAGUGACCUGAUGGAUUGAGCAGUUUCAUCAAUGAUCUGUAAUCAUUAAAAUGUUGAAUGAUGCAAAUAAAUACAAGGAAAAAAAUACACCCAACACUGGAAUAUUAACCAGAUAACAGCCCAAAGUCAUAAGAUCUUGAUUUAUUUGAAAAAAAGAUUAACAAUAUUACAUCAUAAUAGUCAACAUAAUAUCCUAGGCACAUUAGAUCUACCUAAGAAGAAAGAAAAAAAAUAUGAACUCCAAGAUUUUCCUGAAAGAUUGGACAAAAUAACUUACAACAAGAAAUAGGACUCUAUUAAUCAGGACUAGUAUACUAACUUUUGUAGCGACUAAAGGGAUUUCCAUAUCAAUAACCACAAAACUCUCGGAGUUGUUUGGUAUGCGGAAUAAGGUAGAAUAAGACGAGUGAUUAAAUUUAGAUGGUGUUUGAUUGACAAGAUAAAUUUAUGUCGUCAACCAAAAGUAAAAUAAAUUUACCUAAUAUCUCACUUUAUCCGAUCAAAACUUAAAAUUAUAUUAUCCCACCUCUUAAGUGGGAUUAGUCAAAGGAUAUAAGCCCGGAAUGAUUUAGUCCAUGUACAAAUUAAAACAACCUAUUACUUCUUGUAAUAAGAGUACUAUAUACUUAUAUGCUACUGACCUGGAACUGCACAUUGGUCUGCU
rnacentral:lncRNA from 1 species